rnacentral:rRNA from 1 species
GACGAACGCUGGCGGCGUGCUUAACACAUGCAAGUCGAACGGAAAGGCCCUGCUUUUGUGGGGUGCUCGAGUGGCGAACGGGUGAGUAACGCGUGAGUAACCUGCCCUUUACUUUGGGAUAACUUCAGGAAACUGGGGCUAAUACCGGAUAGGAGCUCCUGCUGCAUGGUGGGGGUUGGAAAGUUUCGGCGGUUGGGGAUGGACUCGCGGCUUAUCAGCUUGUUGGUGGGGUAGUGGCUUACCAAGGCUUUGACGGGUAGCCGGCCUGAGAGGGUGACCGGCCACAUUGGGACUGAGAUACGGCCCAGACUCCUACGGGAGGCAGCAGUGGGGAAUAUUGCACAAUGGGCGGAAGCCUGAUGCAGCAACGCCGCGUGCGGGAUGACGGCCUUCGGGUUGUAAACCGCUUUCGCCUGUGACGAAGCGUGAGUGACGGUAAUGGGUAAAGAAGCACCGGCUAACUACGUG